CAAUACUGAAAAAACAGUGACUCAUGAAUGCUCAGGGUAGGUGGACUGUUCAUAUCAACCAUUUAUGGCUUGGGAAACAUUGUAAAAGAGAGCUUAAACAAUGUAUGAACUGGAGGAAGGGCCGAGUACUGUACUGUGGGCAUUAUAUAGCGUUUGCCCUCUUGAACUGUCCAUGGCUGUGAUCACCCACAUGAAACCUGUAGAAGACUGAGCCUAUUAGCAUUCCAUCCUAGAGCUGUCGGGGGUGGGGGGAUUCCACAAGGCUCGAGCCCUCCCUGAGUAUGUAUAGGCAGUUACAGUUCUCCGGGAAAGAAUUUUUUCUUCCUGUGGUGUGGCUCUUUCCAAGUUUCUCAUGCUCUUGAAUGUUCUCACAAUACUGGCUUAUGUGGAGUAUCUAAGUCAUUGGUUUUGAAGAAGGGUGCUGAAGAUAAAUACGAUUAUUUUCACUGGCCAAACCAAUGUAUACAAAUAGAGCUCGAGAGAUCAAAUACGACCUUAAACUACUAUUUCUACUAGACCAUCAAUUAUAAGUAGAUUUUUACAGACCAAUAUGGGACUAAAACUGAAAAAAGGAAUGGGAAACAUCUAU